rnacentral:rRNA from 1 species
AGCUCCAAUAGCGUAUAUUAAAGUUGUUGUGGUUAAAAAGCUCGUAGUUGGAUCUCGGCGGACAGAAGUCGGUCCGAAUGCUUUCGGUACUGGCUUGUUUGUCCGUGUGUUUUGCCAGAGGCAGGCGGGUGCUCUUCGCCGAGUGUCCGUCUGUGCUGGCAGGUUUACUUUGAAAAAAUUAGAGUGCUCAAAGCAAGCUCUUACGCUUGAAUAUUCGUGCAUGGAAUAAUAGAAUAGGAUGUCGUUUCUAUUUUGUUGGUUUUCGGAAAUCGACAUAAUGAUUAAUAGGGACAGUCGGGGGCAUUUGUAUUCAAACGACAGAGGUGAAAUUCUUGGACCGUUUGAAGACAAACUACUGCGAAAGCAUUUGCCAAGAAUGUUUUCA